rnacentral:ncRNA from 1 species
AUCGUCCUUCGGGGUCGGGUGCAAGUCCCAACCGGCGGUGAUGAAGCAAUUCUAAGCCCGCGAGCCAAAACCUGGCAGGAUUUGGUGAGAUUCCAAAGCCGACAGUACAGUCUGGAUGGGAGAAGGACAGA